GUGUCAGCCGCCGCGGUAAUACGAAGGGUGCAAGCGUUAAUCGGAAUUACUGGGCGUAAAGCGUGCGUAGGCGGUUGGCUAAGUCAGAUGUGAAAGCCCUGGGCUCAACCUGGGAAUGGCAUUUGAAACUGGCCGGCUAGAGUGUGAUAGAGGAUGGCGGAAUUCCCGGUGUAGCGGUGAAAUGCGUAGAGAUCGGGAGGAACAUCCGUGGCGAAGGCGGCCAUCUGGAUCAACACUGACGCUGAGGCACGAAAGCGUGGGGAGCAAACAGGAUUAGAAACCCCGGUAGUCC
rnacentral:rRNA from 1 species